CCCUAGCCCUGAUAGCAGCGAUAUCCUUUUAUGGCGGGGUUCGCCACAAAAGAUAAAGCGGAGAGCAGGAAGUGGC
rnacentral:sRNA from 1 species